UUAAGGCGUACAGCUGUGACAUUUGUGGAAAAACUUUCAGCCGGAUAGGGAGCCGAAAUACACACCUACGCAUUCACACCAGACAUGAUGUGUACAGCUGUGAUCAGUGUGGUAAACAGUUUACUACAAACACAGAGUUACGACGUCACAUGUUUACCCACACUGAGGAACGACCUUAUAAAUGUGACCUGUGUGAGAAGACUUUUAAAUCUCCACGUUGCCUGAGACGACACCAACAGAUCCACACCAGAAAGACUCUACAAGUGCAGUUAGUGUGAGAAGCAGAGCGACACAGAUGGAUCAAGUUCUCAACCCUGUCAUCGCUGUGGGAAAGACUUUUGUUGUGACCUUUGUGGAAAAACUUUAAGUCAUUGAAGGACUCUGAAAAUACAUCAACGUAGACACACUGGAGACAAAAUGAACUACUGUAAAGAAUGCGGGAGAGGCUUCACCACUUCAAAGGACUUCAAACAAUAUGAACUCCUUCACAGUGGCGUUAAAAAGCAUGUCUGCGAUCAGUGUGGGUCAUCCUUCAUCAGUGCACGUCAGCUUGAAAAGCAUAAACGAGUCCACACAUGAGAGAAA